GGGGGAUUAGCUCAGUUGGGAGAGCGGCGGGCUGGCAGCCAGAAGGUCAUGGGUUCGAGUCCCUUAUCCUCCA
rnacentral:tRNA from 1 species